UACGUAGGGUGCGAGCGUUAAUCGGAAUUACUGGGCGUAAAGCGUGCGCAGGCGGUUUUGUAAGUCAGAUGUGAAAUCCCCGGGCUUAACCUGGGAACUGCGUUUGAAACUACAAGGCUAGAGUGUGGCAGAGGGGGGUGGAAUUCCACGUGUAGCAGUGAAAUGCGUAGAGAUGCGGAGGAACACCGAUGGCGAAGGCAGCCCCCUGGGUUAACACUGACGCUCAGGCACGAAAGCGUGGGGAGCAAACAGG
rnacentral:rRNA from 1 species